rnacentral:tRNA from 1 species
UGUUAGUGCAACAAAUCC